CAGUGCCUGUGGGACGCUGGGAACCCCCCAGCACCCCGCGCCCUGGCCACCCGUGUUUACCUUACCUUUUGUUGCUUUGGCGGGCCCGUCCCAUUUAGGGACCGCCGGGGGAGCGUACCCACGCGCCCCUGGCCCGCGCCCGCCAGGGGACCCCUAGAACUCCUGUGAAGCAGUGCCGUCUGAGUCGAUAUGUAAAUCGAAACA
rnacentral:misc_RNA from 1 species